AUUGAACGCUGGCGGCAUGCCUUACACAUGCAAGUCGAACGGUAACGGGCCUUCGGGUGCCGACGAGUGGCGAACGGGUGAGUAAUACAUCGGAACGUGCCCGACCGUGGGGGAUAACGAAGCGAAAGCUUUGCUAAUACCGCAUACGAUCUACGGAUGAAAGCAGGGGACCGCAAGGCCUUGCGCGGACGGAGCGGCCGAUGGCAGAUUAGGUAGGUGGGGGGAUAAAAGCUUACCAAGCCGACGAUCUGUAGCUGGUCUGAGAGGACGAUCAGCCACACUGGGACUGAGACACGGCCCAGACUCCUACGGGAGGCAGCAGUGGGGAAUUUUGGACAAUGGGCGCAAGCCUGAUCCAGCCAUGCCGCGUGCAGGAUGAAGGCCUUCGGGUUGUAAACUGCUUUUGUACGGAACGAAAAGCCUUCUUUUAAUACAGGAGGGUCAUGACGGUACCGUAAGAAUAAGCACCGGCUAACUACGUG
rnacentral:rRNA from 1 species